UAAGCUAAACAUUGGGACGAACAUUUAUAAAUUAAAUAUAAAGAGACAACGAAGAUCAAAUUCAAAUAAUAAACAAUAAAAUAAAAAAAAGGCUGCGCAGGGGCACACUCGCACCACUAAACUGAUGCGAAUACGCAAAAGCUUGGCAAUCAAAAAUAGCAUACAUAAUUAGCUUGAUUACGAAUCAUACGAAACUUUGAAGAUUAAAGGUUAAUUUAGAUCCGCCGCAGGCAAGACGCGCAUAUUUAUGAGAGUUGAUUUAAUAGUAUUUGAAGAGUCCGAUGUUGAGAUAAAAUUAUAGAUAUCAUUUAAGUUUUUGCAAAGCAGCCUGAACGAACUGAAAAGCUCAUAAAUCUCUGCUAAGCUAGGAACAUUGAAGUUAAUCUCUGUUAAUAAGGUAGGAUAGUCGACAGCGCGCUUUACUAACCUAACUAAGAAUGGAAAACCUAGGAAAGACGUACGCUUAUCCAACGAAGGUAGCAAGGAGACAACCGAAUCCCAUCCCAAAAUCCUAAGGACGAAAAGCAAGAGUUGCCUUUGAAAUGAUUCUAUUGGACGAAGGUAACAUGGAAAGGAAGGCGACCACAUGAUUGACACAUAUUCAAGUAUUGGUCUCACCUAUGAAAGUCAAGCGCAGACCUAAACUUAUUAAUGGAAAGCUUAGUGUGCAGAUUACAACGUAAUCUUUGGAUCUUUGAAUCUACAUAUUCCAAUUUUUGUGAUUAAUUGAAAUACCCAAUGGCAAAUGAAUUUCUCCUGGGGAACGACAACGUUUUCCUUUUUUUAGGUUUAACAUCGUAAAGUUACAUGAGCACCAUAUAAACAAAUUACUUAUAUCGGAUUGAAAGACACAGAAGUGCGUGAUCGAGGUAAAGGAAGACAACAACUUCAUUCCCAUACAUUAAGGUAUGAGCUGAUUUAAUCACCGAUGGAAGAUCAUUAAUGUACAGGAGAAAUGUGAGAGUCCUAACUAACUACCUUGAGGGACGUCACGGAGAAUUCAUCGGAUAUAAGGGAUUUGAAAAGAAUUUUCAACGAUCUAUUAUGAAGAAGAAAGUUUAUCUAUGAUGAGAAACCCAAUGGUAGCAGCUUAAAAAUCAAUACAGUCAAAAGCUUUGCUGAUGUCUGUAUAUAAGACAUCUGUUUGUGAGCCUUACAAACAUGACAAGUAAAUUCUAAAAAUAUUGUAACAGUUGAUCUUCCUUUUAGGAAGGCAUAUGUAAAUGGAGAAAUAGCUGCUUUAAUAGGGACAAGAAUACGGUGAUAACAAUUCGGUGAAACAGUUUUUGUAAAACACUCAAUUUGGCAACGGCCCUAUAGUUUCCACGAGAUGUCUACUUUUACAUUUGUGCAGUGUAAUAAAGAACUACUCACCAAACACGACGGGAGAACUCCAGCUUUUAAGAGAGGUUAAAAAUAAUUGGUACAGCCUCGCAAAAUUUUUCGAUGAUUUAAGAACUAGCAACUGAGCAACUAUACUUUAAUGAACUUAAACUUUAUUAUGCAUCAUGUUCCGAAAUGACUAAGCUGGGAACUGAAACCGUGUUAAUUGUCUGGUACGGAUAGUUACCAACAGUAGAAACAUUUCGUUGCAAGUAGUCGGGAAAGAGAUUCGAGAUUCCAUAAUAUUCAGAGGAGUCAGACCCGUUAAAAGGCAUUGAUGCAGAGAAUGUAGAGAUCCUUCUUGUAGAAUUAACAAGAUAAUGAAGAGAAGUAAGAUUUCAUCUUUUCGAGGCAUUUACAAUAAUUUUGGUGGUUGUAAUAAUUAAAUUUACACUUCAACGUAGGGAAUUUGAAGUAGUCAGUCAUACGCUUUUCAUUUAUUUCUCAAAAGAUUUUUUCUUUUAUUCUUGUAGCAUUUAAUUAUUCUUUUGAGUCACUGCAGGCGCAUGCUUGGAAGAGAAGGUUGUCUUACUGGAACGGCCGAGAAAAAGGAUAGAAUUUGAUCAGUGGGAGCAGAUAACCUUGUUGUAUCCGCACAGCUGACACGAAGAGAACUAAUCCGUCCGUCAGCGAUAUCGGGUGGGAAAGAGAGGAAAUCUUAUUUGUAUCUUUAUGAUUUUUACUUAUAGAAAAGAAUGAAGCAGAAUGAAGAUAGCCGUUAAAAAAUUUAGAGACGAGAUGCCCACAUAGUUCACAAUUGUAGUCAAGUUAAGGGGAGGAGCAACCAAUUCAGAGGCUUGAGCUUUCUGCGAUCUCACAGAAGCCCAAAACUCAAAGCCCAACAAAGCAAAAGUACGGCGUUUGGCGGAUAUGUAGAAUGAACAAACAGAAGUCAAUGUUAAUAAACUACAUAAAGAUAUAAAUAUAAACCAAUAAAUAAUCAACACAGAUAUAUACAAACGCACGUAAUCAAAAACAAAAAUAAGAAGAAUAAUUAAAAAAAGGUAGCAACGGAUAUGGAAUCUACCACUUCUUAAAAUUCAGAGAGCAACUUGACAUUACUUUGUAAAUUCUGCUUGAUAUGUCAGCACCUACUGAGACAUCACGGCACCAUACAUUUCAGCGUAUCAAAUUCGUUGUUCGGUUAGUCGUUACUCAUCGCUCUCUCUUCCAGUUCCAGUUGGAACAACUCAAGACAUACUGCAACCGAUAACAGUACUUCCAACUUCGGAAGUGAGAGUUUGACAAAUUCUUAACACACACACUUUAUAAAAAGUCAUAAGCAUUUAUUUGCGCGCAUCUGAUAGGUUUUUUUUCUCGACACAAAAGAGGCGUUUAAUAAACGCCUCCCAGCUUCAAGCGAAGACGCCGAAAUUCGCCAUUGCCUGGUGUAUGAUUUUUACUCGAUCACACGUAACAUUCAGUAAUACGCCAUAGGUCAUACACGAGACAAAUGAAUGUGUGCGAGAGGAGCGCCAUUCGAAACUGAUUUAGCAUUGCGGUCAAUGUAGUCGUGUUUUGCUUUCCAGAUAUUCCUUGUUGCUGCUUAUUCCCAGUGAAAGAAGAAAGAAAAUUCUUUGAAAAGAAAGCCAUAUAAAGGGCACAGUUAGCGAGAAUUGUGCAAUUUUGUUUAAAUGUUCAUUCACCCUUGCAAGCACAGCGUUUUGCAAAACAUCGAAUUUCCAUUUUUCAUGGCAGAAGAAGUAAAACAAAUAUUAAUAAAAAUAAACUCUAAUUAAACAUAAUAUGUAACAAUACUGAAGAUUUUCUGCUCAUGAUGAUGCAACACAGCACAGAUAACAUUUUUGCUGUUCGUCUAUGAAAAUGUCAAAGCUUCAAUUGAUUACGUAAAAUGGUGUAGUUCAUUUUAUGACUCUACUAAUGAAUUGCAUUCGUUCCCAUUGAAAUAUUUGUUGAGACCAAAUGUCAAAAAAGGGCUAGACAAUAUAACUAACUAUAUCUGCUACUUUGGAUGUGUUCAAGAAAUGGAAAACAAGUUUAGAUUUGAUUAAUUUCUUUAGUAUGUGAGCAAUUAAAUUUUUACUGUUUUUUAAUCAAUGAAAACCUGAAAAUUUCAAGAGAAGAAAUAAAAAAUUAUUUUUUCUUAGUAUAUUUCUCUCACAUUUUAAACGAAAUACGGACUCUGAACUGCGAAGAAAACAAUUGGAAUUUUGAGCUCUCGUACGAGCGAUCCAUUUUUUGAAGAAUCAUAAGAAUGAAAGCUAUGCUCGAUAACUCAUCGAUUAUAAUAUAUGAAUACAGCGAGCAGGGAAAGCCGUUUCAGUUGAGCGCUGGAUAGGUUCUCCCAUAAAGAGCCGAAACUCUCCAUUGAUAUGACGACUUCUGGCAUAAUGCGCAUCUCAACUGCGUCAAUUCAAUCUUCUAAUAUUUCUUAAUUACGGUACUGCUUGCCAACCAAACAUUGUAUCCAACUGAACCGUCAUAUAGGGUGCCGUGGAUAUUCAGCUCUACCGUACAUAUUAAUGGCUCACCUAGUCUUCGUCAUUGCCUAUUCGGGCUUUGGAAAACGUAAGAUAUUCCUUAUUCAUCAUCCGUAACAACAGUGACGGACCCUUUUGUAACAAUUCUCUCAUUUGCUCUCGCACAGUGAAUGCGUCUGUCUCAUAUAUAUGUUUGGGGUGAAUGGAUAUUUAAGAUUGAAUCCUAGGUAACCGUUUUAACGUUUGUAAGAAAUAAAAUAAGAGAAUAACUCACGCUGUCGCUAUAAAUAAAUGCUGCUAUAAAUAAACAAACAAGCUGCAUUUCUUAUGUCGUACGAGAAACAGAUGCCAGUAAAUCUAAUACAAAAAUGAUAAGUUGCGGGCAGUGGUCGUUUGUGUUCGCUCCUCAACCUCUUCAUCCAAAAAUUUUUCAGAUGUAUCUCUAGUUCUAUCUCUAACGUAUGAGGCGCGGACUUUAAAUUUCCUAAAAUAGUUACUAAAGAUGCAAAGGAGCCUACAAUGAAUAUGGUGUUCUACCCCAAUUAAAUAAUAAACUAUUACGGUAAUAAACAAAAUAUACUUUGCUAUUGACCUGUGAAACUAGUGACAUACUUUAUGAAGAAAAAUCCUGUACAUGCCACAAUAUUGGUUCUUCCCAUAAAUAGUCGAUUAUAGCUAUUGUAACAAGCAUAAGUACUCUUGUAAUAGUAUCAAUGUAAAUAUUCCUUUCGGUUUGAUUCGUUAAAUAUAUCUCCAAAGUCAAAAUUGUAUGCAAGUUCUAAGUUAGCUCUUUACCGACUAAACAGUUAUUAUACCUAUGUCCAACUAUGAUCAAAACACACUAAGUUUUGCAUCCACAAAUACAGAUUUGAGGGUUACGUUUUUUACCUGCGCAGGUACGCGACAGCGGACUAUCCUUUAAUGGUUAUUAGCAAGUCUCGCUCUUAACAAAUAAAUAACAAGCGUUUGAACGGGAAGAAUUUUGAUAAUACUGUAAAUGGAUAAGAGCGCAUUUCUUCGCAUAAACUUUUAAUAAGUACUCCUUCG